UUUAAAUUCAGAGUGAUAAUAAAAUAUCACGAAUUAAGGCACGUCUAAGCUACACAAAUUUAACCAUAUUAUUUUCAUAAGAAACUUAGUCCGUUUUGCAAAUAUUCAAACAUACAUUUAACUUUAUAGUGAUAACAAAAAAUCACGAAUUAAGGCACGUCUAAGCUAUAAAAUUUUAAAUCGAAAGGUUAUCAAUUAUUACACGCAAAAACAAUUAACUAAUAAAUAAUAAAAUCAGUGAUUAGUUUUCUUUUAAUAUACUAGAUACAUGUUUGUCAUCCUGCUAAUGCAGACAUAUACAAUUAAAAAAAUAGCAAUAGUGGUUAAAACUUAAUUACUGUCGGCUCUGAAAUAUUUCUUUUCGUAUUCAUAUAUAAUAUUUUGAACAAAUGUUGGGAAAAUGAAAAAUAUACCUUCCAUAAUUUUGUUUAUAUGCGGUGUUUUAAUAAAUAACUCAAAUAUGUUCUUUUAAACUUACGUCACUGGAAUAGGUAAAUAUUAUAUUGCGGCAUUGUGAAGGCAGAACGAUUUCAGGUCUUUUUUAGUGAAUAUGGGACGAGCACAUGCACUACGAAAUCCGGCGUCACAUGGAAAAAAUAUGAAAGGAAGGCAAAAAGGGGUGAUCACAGAAGUAGAAAGGCGGUAUAUUUUGAAAACAGCUUCCAAUUCGAGUGACUCUGUAACAAUAAUCUAGGGGAAAAUUGGUUCCAGUGCCAGUGUUUCCACUGUGAGAAGAGCAAUAAAAAGUUGUGACCAUCUGGUGCUCAAAAAACUAAAAUAAAAAAUGACCUCUAAAUGCUCAACGGAAGGACUCACGGCUACAAUUUUGCAGCGAUCACAUGGGUUGAAAUAGAAAUCGGCCAUGUUUUCUGAUGAAAAAUUGUGUGAUGUUAAUUUCCGAUGAAGAAAAAGCUAACAAUUCCCAACAGAUUUAAUUAUUAUUUCCAUAACCUUAGGAAAGAGGAACGUUUUCUACCCUGUCACCAUAACCGCCAAGAGGGUGGGAUGGUUUGGGGUGCGGUAUAUUAUUAUGGAACAAUUGAGCUACAGUUUAAAACAUCAAAAAUUACAUGUAUUUUUGUACAAACAAAUACUCAAGUCAGAAUUUUUGCAAUUUUCCAAUAUUUUUGGACCCAUUCGCUGGACAUACCAACAGGACAAUGCUCCGAUCCACCCCAAGGGUAGUAAAAUAUUGGAUUACAGCUCAAAAUGUGAGUUUGUUGAAGUGGACAACCUAUUCUCCUG